rnacentral:rRNA from 1 species
ACCGGCGGCUCGAGUGGUGGCCACUAUUACUGGGCUUAAAGCGUUCGUAGCUGGCUUGUUAAGUCUCUGGGGAAAUCUUCCGGCUCAACCGGAAGGCGUCUCAGGGAUACUGGCAGGCUAGGGACCGGAAGAGGUGAGAGGUACUCCAGGGGUAGGAGUGAAGACCUGGAAUCCUUGGGGGACCACCUGGGGCGAAGGCGUCUGACCAGGACAGCUCCGACAGUGAGGAACGAGAGCUGGGGGCGCAGAUCG